CAGCCGCCGCGGGAAUACGUAGGGUGCAAGCGUUAAUCGGAAUUACUGAGCGUAAAGCGUGCGCAGGCGGUGUUGUAAGACUGAUGUGAAAUCCCCGGGCUCAACCUGGGAACUGCAUUGGUGACUGCAACGCUGGAGUGCGACAGAGGGGGAUGGAAUUCCGCGUGUAGCAGUGAAAUGCGUAGAUAUGCGGAGGAACACCGAUGGCGAAGGCAAUCCCCUGGGCCUGCACUGACGCUCAUGCACGAAAGCGUGGGGAGCAAACAGGAUUAGAUACCCCUGUAGUCCCUGUCUCUUAUAC
rnacentral:rRNA from 1 species